UCCGGUGUAGCUCAGUCGGUUAGAGCAGUGGACUGUUAAUCCACGUGUCGUAGGUUCGAGUCCUACCACCGGAGCCA
rnacentral:tRNA from 1 species